rnacentral:rRNA from 1 species
UACGGGGGGGGGGCAAACGUUGUUCGGAAUUACUGGGCGUAAAGCGCGUGUAGGCGGUCUCGCAAGUCGGAUGUGAAAGCCCCGGGCUCAGCCCGGGAAGGGCGCUCGAAACGGCGCGGCUCGAGUGCCCGGAGGGGAGAGUGGAAUUCCCGGUGUAGCGGUGAAAUGCGCAGAUAUCGGGAGGAACACCAAUGGCGAAGGCAGCUGGCUGGGACGGUACUGACGCUGAGGCGCGAAAGCGUGGGGAGCGAACAGG